AUGAACGCUGGCGGCGUGCCUAAUACAUGCAAGUCGCGCGAACAGAUAAGGAGCUUGCUCCUUUGACGUUAGCGGCGGACGGGUGAGUAACACGUGGGUAACCUACCUAUAAGACUGGGAUAACUUCGGGAAACCGGAGCUAAUACCGGAUAACAUUUGGAACCGCAUGGUUCUAAAGUGAAAGAUGGCUUUGCUAUCACUUAUAGAUGGACCCGCGCCGUAUUAGCUAGUUGGUAAGGUAACGGCUUACCAAGGCGACGAUACGUAGCCGACCUGAGAGGGUGAUCGGCCACACUGGAACUGAGACACGGUCCAGACUCCUACGGGAGGCAGCAGUAGGGAAUCUUCCGCAAUGGGCGAAAGCCUGACGGAGCAACGCCGCGUGAGUGAUGAAGGGUUUCGGCUCGUAAAACUCUGUUAUUAGGGAAGAACAAAUGUGUAAGUAACUGUGCACGUCUUGACGGUACCUAAUCAGAAAGCCACGGCUAACUACGUG
rnacentral:rRNA from 1 species